CAGCCAGAAUCUACAGGGGCGUGGUUUGCGCACGCGGGAACUGGGAUCUCAACCCCAGGGCUAGGUGCCUCCUCCCGCUGCUUUCCGCCAGCUGCGGGGUGUGAGAUUAAUCCCCGCCGAUUAGCGCCAGGUGUACUAAGCGCUGGAUGGUUCCCUGACCAGAUGAAACAUCAGCCGAUGUUCUAAUGCCCGUCCCCUGGGCGCUGUCGCCGAGAGGGAAAACCUGUUUUCUGACCCCGGCUCUAGUCGGCCUCUGGAGGUCUGCAGCUGUGUUAUUUUACCUCUAAAACGGACGACACCUGCCCCAUGCACCCCAGCGGCUCCUCCACACGGAGAGAUGGUGUCAGUCAAAGGCCGUCUAGAUGACGAGUUUAUGAAAUUGUUCCUGGCCCGUGCCGGACACGACCUUGCAGAGAGCCCAGAAGAUGAAACCCCAGCCCUGCCAGGAGCUCACCUGCUAAUUAGGAGGACAACGAAUCACCUCACCUCCCUAGACUUUGCUUCUCCUUUAUUCAGUGAGGGAUUGGACUAGCUGGUCCUUAAGGACUUUUCAGAAAGUCUGGUUCUGGGAGAUGACCAAUGGGAUCAUCUUAUGCUAUGAGCUUUCCUGGAAUGACAGGUAAUGGAGAGUGAGGAGAUUUUACCUGAUAUGGUCCUGUUUGCACCAUCAGCCAGCAACCUUUCUGGGAAACAUGCUAAUUAUGUACCAACAUAAAAGCUUGAAUAUAAGGACUUUGGGAAGAUUCAAGAACAAUGUACGGAACACGGGCUGUGGGAAGAGCCCUGAAUUGGAAUUCUACUGAUUCUCCCAGUCAUUCUCUUUGUGACCUCGGACAAAUGGCUUAGCCUCUGAAAUGGGUAGGGUUGGAUGUCAGGAUGGGUAAAUGAGAGUGAGCUGGCAAUCUCUGGUGUCUGGAUGAAUUGUUCAGGGCCUCUCUAUUCUACACAAUCUUGGGAUCUCUUUUAUCUUAGAAAUUUAUGCCUAGCUUGCACUUUACUCAAUAAUUUGUCUACUACAAUUUUUAAAAAUGUUUCAAUUUUAAAAGAAUAUGAUUUUAGAAAUAUGCACCAAAGUAGUUAUAGAUGAAACAACAAGAAGUCUGGGAUCUGAUUCACAAUAAUCCUGGCAGGGAGACAGUGUAAGUAAGGAGACAGAAAAACACGGGUGGCGUGAGUUGCUGUGGCUGGGGAAUGGGCACAUGGGAGUUUGUGAUACCAUUCUCUAUACUUCUGUAGAGCACUGAAAACACAACUGAAAAUCUUUGCAGCCAUAAAAAAAACAACAAGAUCAUGUAUUUUUCAGGGACAUGGAUGGAACUAGUGUCGAUUAUAUUUAGCAAACUAACACAGGAACAGAAAACCAAAUACUGCUUGAUCUCACUUAUAAGUGGGAGCUAAAUGAUGAGAACACAUGGACACAUAGAGGGGAACAACACACACUGGGGCCUAUCAAGUGGUGGAGGGUGGAAGGAGAAAGAGGACCAGGAAGAAUAACUAUUGAGUAAUAGGCUUAGUACCUGGGUGAUGAAAUAAUCUGUACAACCAACCCCCAUGACACAUGUUUACCUAGAUAACAAGCUUGCACAUGUACCAAUGAACUUAAAAUAAAAGUGAAUAAAUAAAUGAAAAAAAAGGAAAAUCUUAAACCACCUAGAGAAAAAAGAUCACCUACAGAGGAACAAAAAUUAGAAUGACCCCAGGCUUCUUCACACCGACAAAGAAAGCCAGAAAACUAUACUAUAUAAUAUCUUCAAAGUGCCAAGGGAAAACAAUUGUCACUCUAGAAUUGAGUCACCAGUACAGUGGUCUUUCAAGAAUGACGGUAAAUAACAUUUCAAACAAAAACUAAGGGAGCUCACUUAAGAGCACUAAAGAAACUUUUAAAAACUGACUCUGCAAUGAAGAGAAGUGGAUGGGCCCCAAAGGAAGGUCAGACAUGCAAAAAGAAAUGUAAGAAUGUAUGUAAGUCUAAACAGUUUGUAUAAAAUGAUAGCAGUCAUAGCCUCUGAUAAUGGUUUGGCUGUGUCCCCACCCAAAAUCUCAUCUUGAAUUGUAAUCCCCCUAAUGCCAGGUGUCAAGGGAGAGAUCAGGUGGAGGUAAUUGGAUCAUGGGGGCGGUUUCCUCCAUGCCAUCCUCAUGAUAGUGAGUUCUCACGAGGUCUCAUGGUUUUAUAAGGGAGAUUUCCCUGCUCUUGCUAGCAAUUCUUCCACCUGCUGCCUUGCAAAGAGGGCGCCUUGCUUCCUCUUCACCUUCCAUCGUGAUUGUAAGUUUCCUGCCUCCCCAGCCAUGCAGAACUGUGAGUCAAUUAAACCUCUUUCCUGAAUAAAUUACCCAGUCUCUUCAUAGCCGUGUGAGAACGAACUAAUACAGCCUCUAAUUUCUGGGCUAGAUAGAACUAAAAUAAUGGCCAUCAAAAGCCUGUAAUUGGGAAGGACAGUGAUUGGAAUGAAUGUCAAGACAGGACAGAAGGUUAUAAUGUGGUUUUACUUCACACUCUGUUAAGUUUAGAAUGCAUGAUGAAAGUCUACUUUUUGGUACCUAGCCCGGAGAACCCUUCACAAUUGUGUAUAAGGAGGCAUAUUUAAAAACGUUCUGGGGACAGUGGGAGGAACAGCAUCAGGAAAAAUAACUAAUGCAUGCUGGGCUUAAUACCUAGAUGAUGGGUUGAUAGGUGCAGCAAACCACCAUAGCACACGUUUACCUAUUUAACAAACCUACACAUCCUGCACAUGUACCCCAGAAUUUAAUAUAACAAUAAAAAAAAGUUCAUGCUAGUAUUGCUUGAAUAAUAACAUCGUGGGAACAACUUCAACGUUCAUCUACAUGGGAAAUGAUUUCUAAACUCUAGAAUAUCAAUACCACGGAACACUACUGGGAAUGCAGUAGAUCUGUUGGAACCAACAUUUCAGUGGGAAACAAACAAGUGUCUGAAACUUUUCAUACACAUGUUUAUAAAUAUCCCUUAUGAACAUCAAUGCAAAAAUCCUCAACAAAAUACUAGCUAACCAAAUUCAACAGCGUAUCAAAAAGAUAAUACAC